ACCAAUAUAACUUCUUCAGAUCGUAUAAAUCUCUUGCCUUUACUGAAGGUUUCCGUGGAGAGGAGCACUCAGAGUUUAAGUUAUUUUUUUGUGGCCCUGAUUUAGUGGGGCU